rnacentral:rRNA from 1 species
GAUGAACGCUGGCGGCGUGCCUAAUACAUGCAAGUCGAGCGAACAGACGAGGAGCUUGCUCCUCUGACGUUAGCGGCGGACGGGUGAGUAACACGUGGAUAACCUACCUAUAAGACUGGGAUAACUUCGGGAAACCGGAGCUAAUACCGGAUAAUAUAUUGAACCGCAUGGUUCAAUAGUGAAAGACGGUUUUGCUGUCACUUAUAGAUGGAUCCGCGCCGCAUUAGCUAGUUGGCAAGGUAACGGCUUACCAAGGCAACGAUGCGUAGCCGACCUGAGAGGGUGAUCGGCCACACUGGAACUGAGACACGGUCCAGACUCCUACGGGAGGCAGCAGUAGGGAAUCUUCCGCAAUGGGCGAAAGCCUGACGGAGCAACGCCGCGUGAGUGAUGUAGGUCUUCGGAUCGUAAAACUCUGUUAUUAGGGAAGAACAAAUGUGUAAGUAACUAUGCACGUCUUGACGGUACCUAAUCAGAAAGCCACGGCUAACUACGUG